rnacentral:rRNA from 1 species
UUAAACGUCCAUAGCGCGUCGAAUACAGCGGUUCUCGCCGAUCAUCGAAAUUAGCAAGCGUUAAGCAACGUUAGGCGCGGUCAGUACUUGGAUGGGUGACCGCCUGGGAACACCGCGUGACGUUGGUU